AUUCUUGCAUAGAUUUCAACAUUAAAAUAAACUUUGCACUAGGUUUCUGUAGCAAUUGAGGGAGAAAAUUCCAUGAACUACUCGAAAUUUGUAUUGUCUCAUUAUUCACUACAUAAUCCAUAUUUAGUAGGUUUACAAGAAAAACCUUACUUUUAACUUAUCGAGAUGCCAAGGGUUUUUCAAGCAGUAUUGGCUGUCGAAAUUUUAUGUGGGAUUUUACUCCCAAAAACGGAAGGGGUGACACAUAAGCACAACAAAUUAAUUAUUAAUUCAUUAACCCAUUCUGCCAGGAAAAGCAGACAAGUUUUGUAUCCUCACACUAUACAAGAACCUGUGUCCUAUCCUGCCUCACAGAACAGAACCGGCGAACUAAUUCCUCAUCCAGCCUCAAAUAGAUUAGACAAAUCAAGACCAGCAUAUAUAAAACGGUCGUGGUCCACAAAGCGGAAGAUACUCACAUUUCUGGCCGUAUUUGUCUUUAUAGCAGUUACUUUGCAGUUAUAUUUCUGUUGUAAGAGGCGAAAGGGGUCAGCGUGAUGGUGCCGAGAUCUUGGUUUACAUUUAAGUUGGAGUAGUUAUAUGAAUUAAAUAACAUUAGUUAAGCGAGAUUGUGAUAAAAAAGAGUUCCAAACAGGUACAAAUGUAUAAUAUCGAUGAAUUUAUGUACAUAGACACAUGUUAUGUUUCAUGAUUGUAAGGAGAAGGACUUCUGAAACUUAUGUACAUACAUACAUUCUUAAAUACGCAAGCACGUCUUUGAUGAAUGUGUUUUGUUUCACCAUGUUACCAAUUAGUUUUCUGAAAUAUGUAUUCCGUUAUUUGUUACAUACACAAAUUACACACAUUUGUGCAGUCAUAUUAUUUCUCUUAAAUAUCCAUGCAACACUUGCAUAUGUACAUGGUAUUCUUAUGGUAUAAAUUUAAUAAAUGUUCCUAUGAACAAAAUAAUAGCA